rnacentral:rRNA from 1 species
GAUGAACGCUGGCGGCGUGCCUAAUACAUGCAAGUCGAGCGAACAGACGAGGAGCUUGCUCCUCUGACGUUGGUGGCGGACGGGUGAGUAACACGUGGAUAACCUACCUAUAAGACUGGGAUAACUUCGGGAAACCGGAGCUAAUACCGGAUAAUAUAUUGAACCGCAUGGUUCAAUAGUGAAAGACGGUUUUGCUGUCACUUAUAGAUGGAUCCGCGCCGCAUUAGCUAGUUGGUAAGGUAACGGCUUACCAAGGCGACGAUGCGUAGCCGACCUGAGAGGGUGAUCGGCCACACUGGAACUGAGACACGGUCCAGACUCCUACGGGAGGCAGCAGUAGGGAAUCUUCCGCAAUGGGCGAAAGCCUGACGGAGCAACGCCGCGUGAGUGAUGAAGGUCUUCGGAUCGUAAAACUCUGUUAUUAGGGAAGAACAAAUGUGUAAGUAACUAUGCACGUCUUGACGGUACCUAAUCAGAAAGCCACGGCUAACUACGUG